rnacentral:lncRNA from 10 species
GAAGGGAAAAGGCAAGCAGAGAACAAGGUUGUGAAAAGUGCUCUGUAGCCCGGGCGAGAGAGAUGUCGGUGACUCCGAGUAAGGCAUGAUAUCAGCAUUACAGGGAAGGGCUCUGACUCAGUGUGAUCUCAAAGUUGAUAGGAUUGCUCAAAGAUUAAGUAUUCAGACUAAAAGAAAGAGGGAGGGACCAGGAUAAAUUAAAUUAUCAGCUGGUUUACUGAGAAAACUCAGAGAAGAAGACAUUCAGGGAGACACCAAGCCAGGGAGGUGACAAGUAUGUGGUAAAAUCCGAGCACGCAGAAUUUGGGGGAACAGGACUCUAGACUGCCUCUAGAGAGAGCUGUAUUGAAGGCCCUGCGACCCAGCACAGAGAAGGGAAUGGUGCUCUAGGUCCCUGCCUCUGCAGAAGACAAAUCCAGGAAGAGAACCAGGAAACUGCAGAGUAGCCAGCCACAUGCGAGAAAAAUCUGAAGGAGACGAAAAUGUUUCAGGAGAAAGAGGUAUAAUUUGCAGUGAAGUGCACAAAUCAGUGAAAUUUUACGUAUGCAACCUUUAUCACUCACCACCCAAACCAGAGUGGUGUCUUCCCAACACCCCAGGGCCUCUAGUCCUUUUCCAGCGUUGCCUGAAGACACAAACUACUGAUGGCUGCAUCCACAUGACUGACUUCAAACACAGCACGCUGCAGGAGAAAAGCCGGAUACGCGCGUGGAAAGUGGGUGGCUCCACCACCCUGCUGUUCAGGUUUUCUUUCUGAAAGUUCUUUUGGCUUUAUUAUGGAAUAGAGGUUACAGAAAGGCAAAAGCUUUGGCCGUAGCGGGUGGGAAGAUCUUCCUUACCCUGGAGGAGGAAGUAGGGUCUCCGUAAUGUAUGUGUGGUACUCAGGGCUCCCGGCAGCCCGAAGCCAGAGUGUGUCCUCACCCUGCCCCGGGUCAGCCCUGUGACCUGGAGGGAGCAACUGAAAAGCUCUGGGCCUCGGAUUCCUCAUCUGUGAAAUGGGGAUGCUAACAGUGCUACCUCCUCUGGUUGGUUUGUGGCAGAGGACACAUGAGGCAACCUGUGUAAAAUGCUUGGAGGGUGGCCAGUGUGGUUACCAUGGAGAUUGACUGGUACCGUCUUCCACAUCCUGUGUUGACUAAGCGCGCACACCAGAAUACAGUUCCAAACGAUUAUCAAACAUGAAUACAAUUCAGAAAAUAAACAUGCAGCAAAACUUGCCAUAAAGAUUGCAUGAAACUAUCACUUUAAGAAAAAUACAUUAAAAAUUACCUUAAAUACCGAAAAGUACUUUUGUAAGUAAGGAUCAGUCCAAUAAAUUUAACCUGUAUUUGAAUCAGUGUAAAACAACUUGGUUUAUAAUUUUGUCUUCAUCGAGUGGGGGUGACUUUUGUAGCUUCUGUCACUGCUGCCUGGAGUAUAGAAUUAAACACCUUUUUGCAGAAAAAGCCUCCAGCUGUUUUUUUUUUUUUUUUUUUUUUUUUUACUCUCAGAUAAUAUGGGGUGAUUUUUAAAAGACCUGAG